GCCCUCGUAGUUCAAUGGAUAGAACAGGUCCGUCCUAAGGACAAAAUGGGGGUCCGAUUCCCUCCGAGGGCACCA
rnacentral:tRNA from 1 species